rnacentral:rRNA from 1 species
UACGAAGGGGGCUAGCGUUGCUCGGAAUCACUGGGCGUAAAGCGCACGUAGGCGGAUCUUUAAGUCAGAGGUGAAAUCCCAAGGCUCAACCUUGGAACUGCCUUUGAUACUGGGGAUCUCGAGUCCGGAAGAGGUUGGUGGAACUGCGAGUGUAGAGGUGAAAUUCGUAGAUAUUCGCAAGAACACCAGUGGCGAAGGCGGCCAACUGGUCCGGUACUGACGCUGAGACGCGAAAGCGUGGGGAGCGAACAGG